rnacentral:rRNA from 1 species
CGCCUCUUGAACUCAUAAGAGGUCCAGCCUGCCCAGUGACCCCGUUCAACGGCCGCGGUAUCCUAACCGUGCGAAGGUAGCGUAAUCACUUGUUUUCUAAAUAAAGACCAGUAUGAAAGGCAUCACGAGGGUUAAGCUGUCUCCUUUUUCUAAUCAGUGAAUCUAAUCUCCCCGUGAAGAAGCGAGGAUAAAACUAUAAGACGAGAAGACCCUGUGAAGCUUAAGACUUUAUAAUACCUGCUUACCUUUUUCCCACUACUACGGUAAAUCCUCUAAUAGCAUUUUAAUUAUGCGUCUUUGGUUGGGGUGACCGCGGAGAAAAACUAACCCUCCGUAAUGAAAGGGAACUUCCCCAAGCAAUAAGUUACAACUUUAAGCAUCAAAAAACUGACAUGUUGACCCAAUAAAUUGAUUAAUGAACCAAGUUACCCCAGGGAUAACAGCACAAUCCGCUUUGAGAGCUCAUAUCGACAAGCGGGCUUAUGACCUCGAUGUUGGAUCGGGAUAUCCUAGUGGUGCAGCCGCUACUAAGGGUUCGUUUGUUCAACGAUUAAAACCCC